CUGGGCUGUCCCACCCCACCCGCCCCGCAGUGAGGGCAGCAGCAGCACCCACCCCUGGCCAGGUUUGACUCUGUGGGUGGGUGGGUCCCUCUGCUGGGUCUGGCUUGCUCUCCACCUGUAGCAGCUGCAACCCAGGGCCACCGCAUCAGGCCCAGCGACGACCUUCCUUGCCCGAGAUGAUUCCAAUUUGGCCAGAAUCUCACGGUGCAUGUUCACAGAGAGGAUGAGUAACGGCCACCCCCUUAGAAACUGCAGGAGGCGGAGGCCCCGAAGCUCGAACAUCAAGUUCUAGUGUGAGCACCAAGCCCCCAAGUGUGUCAAAGCUGGGAGAGACCUCGGCAACCAUCUGGCCCAUCCCCACACUUAUGCCCAGGAAAACUGAGGAACAGAAAGCUUGUCCAGCUGGCCUAAGGUCACACAGCAAGUCAGAGGCAGCACCAGGACCGGAUCCAGUUUCUUGAUUCCCACUGGAGGCUCUUCCUAACACCGUGCCGCCUGUCAUCGUUUCACCAGCACCACUGUGGUGGAGGAAGGACACCGGUAUUUAUUGAGCAUCUACUAUGUACUGGGUACUCUGUAGGCUUUUGUGUGUAUUAGCUCAGUCGCUCCUCCUGACACAUCUGGCAGAGGUGAUACUAUGCUCUCCAUUUUACAGGUGGGAAAACAUCGGCUAAGAAAGGUAAAGCCCCUGAUCAAGUUACAGUCAGGCAAUGAUGAAGCUGGAAUUCAAACUCAGAUCUGUCUGCCUCCAAAGCCUGUGCUCUUUCUGUUCUUCCUACAACCUCCUGUGGAGAAAUGGGCAUAGCUGGGCCCCUGGUUGGAUGGGCAGGGGGCGGCCAGCCCAGCAUCUCUGCUCCUCCCUCUGUGGUGGGAGACAUGGAGGGUGCCUGGACAAUCAAAUUACACACAGUGACUGAGGAUUCAUGAACAGCCAGGGCUUAGCUUAUCCCGGUGGGACUUCCCACUGCCUCCGUGACCCAGCCCACGGCCCCUCCACCUGGACAAGUAGA